AUCAAACUGUCCCUGUCAGGCCAGGUGUCAACAUCAAACUGAUCCUGUCAGGCCAGGUGUUCAACAUCAAACUGAUCCUGUCAGGCCAGGUGUUCAACAUCAAACAUCAAACUGUCCCUGUCAGGCCAGGUGUUCAACAUCAAACAUCAAACUGUCCCUGUCAGGCCAGGUGUUCAACAUCAAACUGAUCCUGUCAGGCCAGGUGUUCAACAUCAAACUGAUCCUGUCAGGCCAGGUCUUCAACAUCAAACAUCAAACUGUCCCUGUCAGGCCAGGUGUUCAACAUCAAACUGAUCCUGUCAGGCCAGGUGUUCAACAUCAAACUGAUCCUGUCAGGCCAGGUGUUCAACAUCAAACAUCAAACUGUUCCUGUCAGGCCAGGUGUUCAACAUCAAAC
ensembl:lncRNA